rnacentral:rRNA from 1 species
UAACAGAGAGUUUGAUUAUGGCUCAGAUUGAACGCUGAGGGAUGUUUACAUGAUGCAAGUCGAACAGCACGGACUUCGGUCUGGUGGCGAGUGGCGAACGGGUGAGUAAUGAUCGAACGUGCCUAGUAGCGGGGAUAACUACGCGAAAGUGCUGUAGCUAAUACCGCAUACGCCCUUCGGGGAAAGCGGGGGACCUUUCGGGCCUCAAAAUUAGAGCGGCCGAUAUCGGAUAUCGAUUAGCUAGUUGGUGGGUAACGGCUCACCAAGGCGACGAUCCGUAGCUGGUUUUGAGAGAUCAUGACCAGCCACACUGGGACUGAGACGGCCCGUAUUUUACGGGAGGCAGCAGUGGGGAAUUUUGGACAAUGGGGGAAACCUGAUCCAGCCAUCCUGGCGUGUGCGAUGAAGGCCUUCACAAAAGCACCUUUUGGCAGGAAGAAACGGCACGGGAUAAUACCUGCAAAUUGACGUGGUACUCUGCAGACACACCGGCUAACCACGUACAGCAGCCGCGGUAAUACGUAGGUGCAAGCGUUAACGGGAAUUACUGGGCGUAAAGCGUGCGCAGGCGGUCUGGAAAGAAAGAUGAAUCCCAGAGCUUAACCUUUGGAACUGCAUUUUUAACUACCGAGCUAGAGGUAUGAGUGGGAGGUGGAAUUCCGCGUGUAAGCAGUGAAAUGCGUAGAUAUGCGGAGGAACACCGAUGGCGAAGGCAGCCUCCUGGGAUAACACUGACGCUCAUGCACGAAAGCGUGGGGAGCAAACAGGAUUAGAUAAUCUGGUAGUCCACGCCCUAAACGAUGUCAAUUAGCUGUUGGGGCCUUCGGGCCCUGGUAGCGCAGCUAACGCGGGUGAAGUUGACCGCCUGGGGAGUACGGUCGCAAGAUUAAAACUCAAAGGAAUGAGCGGGACCCGCACAAGCGGUGGAUGAUGUGGAUUAAUUCGAUGCAACGCGAAAAACCUUACCUACCCUUGACAUGUCCGGAAUCCCGAAGAGAUUUGGGAGUUUCGCAAGAGAACCGGACACAGGUGCUGCAUGGCUGUCGUCAGCUCGUGUCGUGAGAUGUUGGGUUAAGUCCCAGCAACGAGCGCAACCUUGUCAUUAGUUGCUACGAAAGGGCACUCUAAUGAGACUGCCGGUGACAAACCGGAGGAAGGUGGGGAUGACGUCAAGUCCUCAUGGCCCUCCUUAUGGUAGGGCUUCACACGUCAUACAACACGGACAGAGGGUCGCUAACCCGCGAGGGGGAGCUAAUCCCAGAAACCCGAUCGUAGUCCGGAUCGCAGUCUGCAACUCGACUGCGUGAAGUCGGAAUCGCUAGUAAUCGCGGAUCAGCAUGUCGCGGUGAAUACGUUCCCGGGUCUUGUACACACUGCCCGUCACACCAUGGAGUGGCUACCAGAAGUAGUUAGCCUAACCGUAUGAGGGCGAUUACCAUGGUAGGAUUCAUGACUGGGGUGAAGUCGUAACAAGGUAG